CUGUUCAUGAAGAGAGUGAAUCCGUGCUGAGGUGCAGGUCUCAUUUUCAUUCUCCUCAUGUUCAUCUUCACAUUUUGGCCAGUUGUCUUCAGAACUCCCACCAAUUACAACCUUCUCCUCCACAUCUGCGACUGACGCACUCUCUUCUUCUGCGUUUGUCAAACGAUUAGACUUGUCUUGUUUUAAAUCUAUUUCCGAUAAACGUGGUUCAUUAUCGAUUUGCUUCAAUUUUAAUUUCAGCUGUUCAAGCUCUUGCUUGAGGGACAGGAAAUCCUGCCUUGACACUUCCUGCAGCUGCAAAGUCAGUUGGUCAUGUUUGGCCUUUAACGAAGACAGCUCAUUCUGUUCUUCAUGCAAUCUGUUUAUUACCAUCUUUAUGGUGGUUGUGUUAACUGUGGAAUGUUCCAGAAGCUUUGUAAAGUUUCUGGUAGUUCUUUUGUCUCUGUGAAACUAGAUACAACAGCGCUCUGUGCAUUCUCUGCAUUAGUCUCAAUCGCAUGACGAUUGUCUUGCUGAGCAGUAGUCAGUAGUUCUGGUAGCUCCUCUGCAGUAGUGUUGUCAUUAUAGUGGUCAGAAUCUUUUCCAUAAAGAUCUGAGGAUGUUAAUGUUACAUGUUCCUUGGUGGCUAAGGUCACCUGACCCAUAUUUGUCUUAUCUGAAGCAGCAGAGACAUUGCCAGGCGGAUCCUCUCCAACUUCUAAAUUUUAAAGGACUGGUGAUCAGACUGUAGUGGUUUAUUUUUCACAGUGUUAUAAGAUUCUUGUUCAGACUCUUCAUGAGUAUUUGAAGUAGUAGUGUUAAUCGCAAAAUCACAAGAUGGCUCUGCAGAAACUUCAGCAGACUUCUUAGUGCUUGAGGUCAUGCUGGUAACUCUCUCUUUAUCCACCUUGAGUGAGGCAAGCUCUUUUAGACAGCUCUGUAGUUCCUCUCCUUGCCUCUGGAGGGCACUGUCUCUUUGCUGUAGUUCCCUUAAAAGGUCUUCAAUGUGCUUGCUCUGAUUUUCAAAUGCUAGAGUUAGCUGCUGGGUCUGACUCGUCACCUGGUUCUGAAGAGCCUCCAACAUUUUCUGUGACUUUUUCGCCCUUUCUGCUUCCCUAUCUCUCUGUACUCGCAUACGUUCCACCUCCAGUACCAAAACGGUAGUGUCAUCCAAGUUUACGCCUUUUGUGCUCUUUGUAUGAUCCUCCAGAUUUCCAGUUGAAGUAGUGUCCUGUUCUAAUGGAGAGUGCUCCCCAGCUUUUAUCCCAGUUCCACAUUCUGUAAUCAGGGCUUUUUUUGGUUCCUUGGAGAACAUGGUACUCGGAAGGUUCACCGACUCACAGAAGAAAACCUCAUUUUCUAAUGCUGUAACAUCGUUUGUGGUGUUUGGUUGGUUUCCAAGCUGCAGAUAGGUUAAAGGCAUGCUGGUGUUUACAUUUUUGUCCUCCACUGUGGAAGAACUUUGUAGCCAGUCCAACUCUGCUUGAAGUUCUGCAAUCUUUACUCCUUCCACUUCGUAGGUUUUGCGUAGUUUCUUCUCCUCCUCUAGCUCCCUUUCUCUCUCCUCACGUUCCUGAAAAAGCUCAGACUGAAGCACCUCUAGUUCCUUGCGCAUUUUCUCCCCCUCUUUUUCAAGAAGUUCCUCCUUUCUUUCCAUCUGAGCCAAGGCUUCUUUAAGUUUGAUGGUCUCCUCUUUGGUUUCUUCCUCUUUUCUCUCACCUUCCUCCUGUCUUUUUUCAGCCUCCUUCUCCAAAGUAGUUACCACUUCCCUUAAUCUUGCACUCUCCUUCCUCUCUUGUUCCAGCUGUGCCUCCAGUUUGCUUCCUUUCUCUUUAAGCUCCUGGGCUUUUGUGCGAUGCUGCUCGGCCUGGCUUGAGUGCUUUUUGCUUAGUUGCUUCAGUUUGGUCCUGGCCUCAGCUUCUGCCUGCCUUUGAGUCUCAAGGUCAUCCAGACGCUGAUCUAACUCCCGUUUAAUGUCCCUGAGCUCAUCCCGGAGAGCUGAAUUCUCUUUCUUUAAUUCAACAAUAUAAGAUGAGUCCCGUUUCUGUCCCUGAUUUAAAGAGCUCGACUUUUGGUUUCCUGAGUCACAGUGGAUAUCAUCUUUAAAGAUGCGCUCAUUGAUUGAAUCAGACAUGCACGAGUCGGUGUCUGUAUCUUCUAUCCCUGUGUCUUGUUCAGUAAUGGAGCUCUCCAUCUCUGCCUCACUAGACCGUUGUGCUCCACACAGAUUCCCUUCUUGUAUACUGAUGCUCAAUGGGGGUGAGUCCUCAGAGCCAAACUCGCUGAUGUGCUCAGAGUCAAUCCCCUCACCAGGUUCUCUCUCAGAAGGACAGGCUAAAGGCCCUGGCCUAUCCGAUAUUUUGGUCUCUCAUUUUUUAGCGUUCUCUUUCUCUGGGAUGAGUGCUGUCGAGGUGGAGAGUAACUGGGAUAAGUGGACAGAACAGGACUGAAAUUGUCACCAGCAACAGGAUGGGAGACCACUUGUGGAGGAGGAGCUGCAAGUUGGGCUAAAUGGGAAACACACAGAGAAAAAACAAAAAAAAUAUUUAUAUGCAUGUAAAUAUCUAUGGCACACUACAU
ensembl:lncRNA